rnacentral:misc_RNA from 1 species
GAAUGAAGAACGCAGCGAAAUGCGAUAAGUAAUGUGAAUUGCAGAAUUCAGUGAACCAUCGAAUCUUUGAACGCACAUUGCGCCCCUCGGGUCUCCCGGGGGGCAUGCCUGUCCGAGCGUCAUGCUUCCUGUCGGGCCCCCUUAGCUGUGGGGCCCGGAGCUGGGCCACGUGGUCCCCGCCAGGCGCGGCCUCAGAAACCGACCCUGACCGGAAGGCCGCGGGCCCGAAAGGCACAGAGCGGAGCCACCGUAGGAGACGAAGCGACCAAGGUCACGAGCCAUCGCUCCGUCCACCGCAGGACCGCGCUCCGGCGAACGUCCCUCCCCGGAGGGACGGCCCUUUUUUUCUCAAGCGACCGACCUCGGAUCAGGUAGGGAUACCCGCUGAACUUAAGCAUAUCAAUAAGCGGAGGA